rnacentral:rRNA from 1 species
AGUUCGGAGCACAACAGCUCCAGAUUGAACGCUGGCGGGAUGCUUUACACAUGCAAGUCGAACGGCUGUACCGGACUUCCGGUCUGGUGGCGAGCUGGCGAACAGGUGAGUAAUGUAUCGGAACGUGCCUAGUAGCGGGGGAUAACUACGCGAAAGCGUAGCUAAUACCGCAUACGCCCUUCGGGGAAAGCGGGGGACCUUCGGGCCUCGCACUAUUAAACGGCCGAUAUCGGAUUAGCUAGUUGGUGGGGGUAACGGCUCACCAAGGCGACGAUCCGUAGCUGGUUUGAAGGACGACCAGCCACACUGGGACCAGUUGACCCAGACUCCUGAGGCAACGGUGAGGGAAUUUUGGACAAUGGGGGAAACCCUGAUCCAGCCAUCCGCGUGUGCGAUGAAGGCCUUCGGGUUGUAAAGCACUUUGGUAGAAAGAAACGGCACGGGAUAUACCCGUGCAACUGACGGUACCUGCAGAAUAAGCACCGGCUAACUACCGACAUACAGCAGCCGCGGUAAUACGUAGGGUGCAAGCGUUAAUCGGAAUUACUGGGCGUAAAGCGUGCGGGCGGUUCCGGAAAGAAAGAUGUGAAUCCCAGAGCUUAACUUUUUGGAACUGCAUUUUUAACUACCGAGCUAGAGAGUGUGUCAGAGGAGGUGGAAUUCCGCGUGUAGCAGUGAAAUGCGUAGAUAUGCGGAGGAACACCGAUAGCGAAGCAGCCUCCUGGGAUAACACUGACGCUCAUGCACAACGUGGGGAGCAAACAGGAUUAGAUACCCUGGUAGUCCACGCCCUAAACGAUGUAACUAGCUGUUGGGGCCUUCGGGCGCUGGUAGCGCAGCUAACGCGUGAGUUGACCGCCCUGGGAGUACAGUCAAAGUUAAAACUCAAGAUUGACGGGGACCGCACAAGCUGCGGUGGAUGAUGUGGAUUAAUUCGAUGCAACAUGAAAACCUUACCUACCCUUGACAUGUCUGGAAUCCAAAAAAAAAAAUUUGAAAAAAGAAAUUGCGGGAGUGCUCGCAAGAGAACCGGAACACAGGUGCUGCAUGGCUGUCGUCAGCUCGUGUCGUGAGAUGUUGGGUUAAGUCCCAACGAGCGCAACCCUUGUCAUUAGUUGCUACGAAAGGGCAACAAGCAGACUGCCGGUGACAAACUGGAGGAAGAUGAGGAUAACGUCAAGUCCUCAUGGCCCUUAUGGGUAGGGCUUCACACGUCAUACAAUGGUCGGGACAGAGGGGUCGCCAACCCACGAGGAGAGCCAAUCCCAGAAACCGGAGUGUGUCCGGAUCACAGUCUGCAGCUCGAGCUGAAGUCGGGAAUCCGCUAGUAAUCGCGGAUCAGCAUGUCGCGGUGAAUACGUUCCCGGGUCUUGUACACACCGCCCGUCACACCAUGGGAGUGGGUUUUACCAGAAGUAGUUAGCCUAACCGUAAGGAGGGCGAUUACCACGGUAGGAUUCAUGACUGGGGGUGAAGUCA